CGCUUUCCCAUGUUGCUUGUCUGUGUUUAUUGUGCUAUGAUGGAUAGCAUGCCAUUGGUGGACACUCUUAUCUAUCGCUUCAUGGGAGAAGCCAAGGAGGUGCAAGGUGCAACUCAGCUGCUUUCAACUCAAAAAUGUAACCAAGGUAUGGUGUCACGGUGCUGGGUCGUUGACCCAGCGUUUUGUGUUUAGUAUGAUUAUUGUCUUCUGUUCUAGUUUAUUCUUAUUUUGGUAUUCUGUGUCCUCCCCUUGUGCCCUGUUUGUGUCCCUGAGUUCAUGUUGAGGAUUUCCUGUUUUACUUUGAAGGUCUUGUCUCAUGUGAGUGUAUUCUGCUUUACUCCCUUGUCUUGUCUUGCCUAUUGAGUCCCAGCUGUGUGCCCACCUGUUCCUCGUUUCCUCAUGUGCCUGCCAGUGUAUUUUAGUCCCUGUCAGUUAGUUAUUGUUGUCGCGUCGAUAACGUCGGUUACCCUCAACUUGCUGUGUGUUUGUUAUGUCCAGUCCUCCAGCACCUCUGUUUAGAGUCUCGGUUUUGCGGCUUUUAUUUUACGAAGAGUUUGUCCAGCAAUAAAGCUGCGUUUUCAGAGUCCUGCAUUUU